UACGUAGGUGGCAAGCGUUAUCCGGAAUUAUUGGGCGUAAAGCGCGCGUAGGCGGUUUCUUAAGUCUGAUGUGAAAGCCCACGGCUCAACCGUGGAGGGUCAUUGGAAACUGGGAAACUUGAGUGCAGAAGAGGAAAGUGGAAUUCCAUGUGUAGCGGUGAGAUGCGCAGAGAUAUGGAGGAACACCAGUGGCGAAGGCGACUUUCUGGUCUGUAACUGACGCUGAUGUGCGAAAGCGUGGGGAGCAAACAGG
rnacentral:rRNA from 1 species